rnacentral:rRNA from 1 species
UACGGGGGGGGCAAGCGUUGUUCGGAAUUACUGGGCGUAAAGGGCUCGUAGGUGGCCAACUAAGUCAGACGUGAAAUCCCUCAGCUUAACUGGGGAACUGCGUCUGAUACUGGAUGGCUUGAGUUUGGGAGAGGGACGCGGAAUUCCAGGUGUAGCGGUGAAAUGCGUAGAUAUCUGGAGGAACACCGGUGGCGAAGGCGGAUCUCUGGGCCAUUACUGACGCUGAGGAGCGAAAGCGUGGGGAGCGAACAGG